AGCUUUUCAUAAUGGAGGGGAAGAUGGAGGAGAUGGGGAGAGGAGCACAUGAACCUUACUCUUAUAGGAAUUGGCUCAAUGAGAGAACAUACACAAUAGAGUAUAGAAAUUGAUCUUACUGGGUUCAGAACAAGGACACAUAUGAUACCCAGUGGAAUUGCAUGUCAGCUAUCAUUGGUUAGGGGAGGAGUGGUGGGAGGGGAGGGAGGAAAAGAAAAUGAUUUUUGUAUUCAAUGAAUAAUGUUUGAAAUUGACGAAAUAAAAUGUUUAAAUUGGAAAAAAAUAAGAAAUCGAUCUUACCCUACAGUAAAGUAGAAGAGGAAGGGAAUAAGAGAACAGGGUGGGGGCUGAUAGGAAAGAGGGCAUAUUGAGAGAGGUGGUGGCCAGAAACUAAACAGGCAGAAAUACAGUGGAGAAUAAUAAUACAGUAAUAGAACAGCAAUCAUAACUGCAAAAAAAAAUUUACAAGUCUCUCUAAUAAAGGCCUCCUUUCUCAAAUAUAUAGAGAAAUUAGUUGAAUGUAUAAGAAUACAAGUUAUUCUCUAAUAGAUAAGUGGACAAAGGAUAUUAACAGGAAGUUCUCAAACAAAGUAAUUAAAGCUAUCUAUAGUCAUACAAAAAAUGCUCUAAAUCACUAUUAAUUAGAGAAAUGCAAAUUAAAACAACUCUGAGAUAGCACUUCUGUAGUAAGGGAUUUUGCAAGCUGACAGCAAGAGAUCCUGGAGACCAACAUUCCACACAGAACUCUCAGAAGCUGGGGAACUGAAACACACAGGCAGUUGCUGGACACAGUUGGUGAAUUCUGGAAAGAUGGAGAGUCUGCUGUUUUUCUCUAGCAGUUAGGAAAAGUCCAGAGAUUUUCUGUUUGGUAUUUCUGGGGUGGACCCAAAGAGCCAGUGAUUCCCUCUUCUUUGACUUUCUUGAUAUUCUGGCUGUUCCUGCCUGUUGCUGCUACAGAGAAGUGGAUUUCAACAAUACCGAUCUCUCCCAUCUGCAAAAUGGACAUAAUAAACCCCGUGGAUCACCCUCACUGCAGUUGAGUAAGGAAAAGUGCUAUCUGAACUGUUACUUCACUCAAUUCUGGAUUCAAACUACUAUAUUCAAAGUGAUUUUAAUAACAAUUUAAAAAAUUAAAUAAGUUAAUUUAACAAUUUCAGUUGAAUAAUUAAAUACAUUUUUAUUUUACUGAUGAUUUUAGUAAUUUUUAUUUAAUAAUAAGAGCUAACAUAUAUUUAGCACCUACUACAUAUUAGGCAUUGUGCUGAGUGCUUUACAAAUAUUUUCUUAUCUGAUCCUUACAACAAUCCUGGAAGGUAGGUGCUAUUAUUAUCCUGAUUUUAGAGUUGAAGAAACUGAGGCAGGCAGGCAUAACACAACUAGUAAGCAUGUGAGGUCACUUCUUUGUCACUGUUCUGUUUUAAUUGCCCCUAAAAUAAAGGCAUAACAUUACCUGGAAAAUGCUAUCUG
rnacentral:lncRNA from 1 species